UACGUAGGGGGCUAGCGUUGUCCGGAAUCAUUGGGCGUAAAGCGCGUGUAGGCGGCUCGGUAAGUCCGCUGUGAAAGUCGGGGGCUCAACCCUCGGAUGCCGGUGGAUACUGUCGGGCUUGAGUACGGAAGAGGCGAGUGGAAUUCCUGGUGUAGCGGUGAAAUGCGUCAGGAGUAUCAAGGAGGAAGACCGUGGUGUAGACGGACUCCGUCGUGGACCGCCGACUGACGCUGAGACACGAAAGCGUGGGU
rnacentral:rRNA from 1 species